AAAAUCCCUGUUGCUGCCAGGCCGAGAAAGCCUUCUGGCUCAAUCUGAAGAGAUCAAAAUCGAGCUUUAUGAGUCUGAUUUUCACGAUGCCAAUAUGUGACGAAGGUGAGGUUUUUCUUUUGGUAAAAGGCCACUGGCUGAGUUGCCGAACAAGGCGAUAUAGCGGGAUCCGAGAGCUUGUUUGAUCCUUACAGGACAAUCCUGGGUGGAUAUUGGUCGGCAUUGGAGAUCAGGUGGAUAGGAACAGCCUCGAGCUCUUCGAAACCACAAGUACGUCUUUUCUCGUUUCUUUCCUUGCUUUUCCUUGUAACUUGUCUGACAGAUUGUUGUCCAUGGCACACGAAGAAAACUUAGCUCUCUAGCGCAAGUCCUGCAAAAGGCUUUUACAGCGCUUGCUAUUCAGUUCAAGCAUAAAGCUCCUGCACAUCGUGCUCAAAAUCGUCAAGGUGUACACCACAGAAGUUCAGCAGCUGAAUUCUCCGCUCCACAACUACAUCCGAGCAUCAGUUGGACUCGGCAUGAUAAAGUCCUGAUUCCGUGCUCUACACUCAUGUGCAGGAUUUACCUCCGGCUGUUAUCAGGGAAGUUCUUGAGCUUCAGGAAUGUUUCAAUUGUGGCAUUUGGAUUUUCGGUUCCAAUACCUGUUUCUUGGAAUGCAAUAG